AGAACGAACGCUGGCGGCAUGCCUAACACAUGCAAGUCGAACGAUGCUUUCGGGCAUAGUGGCGCACGGGUGCGUAACGCGUGGGAAUCUGCCCCUUGGUUCGGAAUAACAGUGGGAAACUACUGCUAAUACCGGAUGACGACGUAAGUCCAAAGAUUUAUCGCCGAGGGAUGAGCCCGCGUAGGAUUAGCUAGUUGGUGAGGUAAUGGCUCACCAAGGCGACGAUCCUUAGCUGGUCUGAGAGGAUGAUCAGCCACACUGGGACUGAGACACGGCCCAGACUCCUACGGGAGGCAGCAGUGGGGAAUAUUGGACAAUGGGCGCAAGCCUGAUCCAGCAAUGCCGCGUGAGUGAUGAAGGCCUUAGGGUUGUAAAGCUCUUUUACCAGGGAUGAUAAUGACAGUACCUGGAGAAUAAGCUCCGGCUAACUCCGUGCCAGCAGCCGCGGUAA
rnacentral:rRNA from 1 species